AAUUUAAACUAUUAAUAAGUGGAAGUUCCCUCGUAAGAUGAAGGGUACUCCCGAAAUAAUAUCAUCUCUUAGAGGCAUUUUGGUAUUUUCAGUUCAACCCUCUUUUUCCUUUCUCAAUGACAAGUGUUGUAGCAGUUUCCAGUUGUAUCGUACAACUGGGUUACACUACAGUCCAUUGAUUAUCAAGAGCCUGACUCAAUUUUGCCAUUUCUUCUUCAUCAGUCUUUUAUGUCUUUUUUCCGUUCUCUGCAACUUGAGGCUCGCCUUCUUCUGGUCACUUACAUUUCAAUUGUUUCCUCCCUCUCACCUCCUUUUUACGAGAUUAUUAUUUUUAUUGUCAUGCUUUGAUUGGAUUUUUUGCAGGCGAGCUUUGAUUUUAAUUUUUCCUCUUGGUUUCGGACUUCCCAUGUUUUUUUUUUCCGCUAACACCAUAUGGAGGGAAUUUUGUACAACUUUCUAAUAGUUGGAUGCAUGCAUUUGGAGAGAUGGGGAAAUUUCGAAAGAUGAUUUGGAGAAGUUGCAAUGUUGGGGAGAUUCAUUUAGUGGAGCACGCAAAAUAAUAGAAUGCAAUUUACUAGUGUUAUGACAGGGCGUAACUGUGCAAGAGAAGAAAGCUCUCAGACAAUCACUUGGACAAGGCAUACAGAAUCACGUUUUACAAGACAUGGUUGCAGAUGAGAAUGUUACUCAGUACUGCCCAAUAUUCACAUCGAAAUGUGAAAAAGACUCGAACUUUAUAGAUUGGAAGUGGAAAAACACACCAUGAUUGGAAAUAUUAAAGGAGGCACCCGAAGAUAAUAGUGUAAAUUGGGGGUUGUCGGGUAGGGUAUUUGAGUACGGUUUUGAAGAAUUUAUAAGGUAUGGAAUAUUGCAUUAGUAAUCAAUGAUUAUUAAGCAUAGAAGGCAGUUGGUAUAUGUUGUCAGCACAUCGCAAUUUUUACAUAGUUGACAUUCUGGACCGAAACCGCAAAUGAUUUUAAAACUAAGCAGGUUUAUUUUGAUAUAACGUUGAGAGAAAUUUUUGAUCUUAUCUGAAUGACAAUAAACUUAAUAUGUACUUCUCAUAUGGAAGAGAUUUUGAAUGUUAUUGAUCAUCUUCCAUGUUACAGUGUUGGGUAUAGUAUUGGAUACGGGUAUAUGUGGAACAAAUAUAAGUCCAACUUCCAGCUGUUUGUUUCUUUGUUUUGAUAGGUCUACCAUUAAAGUCAUCCAGAAACAAGAAAGAAACUAUUAGUGCAACGUUAGUCGAUUCUGCUAAAAGAGAUUUCUAGAAGCAU